rnacentral:rRNA from 1 species
UUGGAUUAGAUACCCGAGUAGUCCACGCCGUAAACGUUGGGUACUAGGUGUGGGGUCUUAUCAACGGAUUCCGUGCCGAAGCUAACGCAUUAAGUACCCCGCCUGGGGAGUACGGCCGCAAGGCUAAAACUCAAAGGAAUUGACGGGGGCCCGCACAAGCAGCGGAGCAUGUUGCUUAAUUCGAGGCAACGCGAAGAACCUUACCUGGGUUUGACAUGGUGGGAAAAGCCACAGAGAUGUGGUGUCCUUUUGGGCCCAUCACAGGUGGUGCACGGCCCUCGUCAGCU